UCACGACGUCAACAAGAUGCCCCAUCAACUCAGAUAUAUCCUGCCAUUAAUAAAAUUUCCUGUUAAUAAAUAAUCUUCCAUUUUCAAACUCCAUGUCAAUUAUAUACAGUUUGUUAAAUGAUUUGAAAAAAAAAGCCACCUCAAGGAAGUUUUUUGUGGACGGAGUGUAAUGAGGUGUUGUCAGUGACACCAAAUCUCCAAAGGUAUUUCAGCUGACCAGGCCAACGUUUAUGGGAAGCAAGCGCAAUUUGUUAGAAGUUGAGGGCGUGGUAGAUGAAAGCGUUAAAAAUUGAGAGACAAGGUGUGACACAUGAAAUUCCAAGAUUGUUAAGAUUCAUUGCAUUCUGAAAUUUAAUUAUUGGAUAAGAUUCAUUGUAUUAAGUUGUUUGUUGAGAUUAUAUUGUAUGGUGAUAAUCUAAAGAAAACAGUUUUAAUGUGUAAUCAAAAUGUAUAAAUAUA